rnacentral:rRNA from 1 species
AACGAACGCUGGCGGCAUGCCUAACACAUGCAAGUCGAACGAGACCUUCGGGUCUAGUGGCGCACGGGUGCGUAACGCGUGGGAACCUGCCCUUAGGUUCGGAAUAACUCCCCGAAGGGGGUGCUAAUACCGGAUAAUGUCUUCGGACCAAAGAUUUAUCGCCUUUGGAUGGGCCCGCGUUGGAUUAGCUAGUUGGUAGGGUAAAAGCCUACCAAGGCGACGAUCCAUAGCUGGUCUGAGAGGAUGAUCAGCCACACUGGGACUGAGACACGGCCCAGACUCCUACGGGAGGCAGCAGUGGGGAAUAUUGGACAAUGGGCGAAAGCCUGAUCCAGCAAUGCCGCGUGAGUGAUGAAGGCCUUAGGGUUGUAAAGCUCUUUUACCCGGCAUGAUAAUGACAGUACCGGGAGAAUAAGCUCCGGCUAACUCCGUG